UACGUAGGGUGCAAGCGUUAAUCGGAAUUACUGGGCGUAAAGCGUGCGUAGGCGGUUCUCCAAGUCCGUUGUGAAAUCCCCGGGCUUAACCUGGGAAUGGCAGUGGAAACUAGGGGACUUGAAUCUGGCAGAGGGGGGUGGAAUUCCACGUGUAGCAGUGAAAUGCGUAGAGAUGUGGAGGAACACCGAUGGCGAAGGCAGCCCCCUGGGCUGAGAUUGACGCUGAGUGCACGAAAGCGUGGGGAGCAAACAGG
rnacentral:rRNA from 1 species